CCAUAUACCACCUUAUGCUGUGAUCCCAUCAGAUCUCACAAGCUAUGCAGGGUCGGGAGGGGUCAGGUCAGUGUUUGGAUCAGAGACCUCCAUGGA
rnacentral:rRNA from 1 species